GACGAACGCUGGCGGCGUGCUUAACACAUGCAAGUCGAGCGGUAAGGCCCUUUCGGGGGUACACGAGCGGCGAACGGGUGAGUAACACGUGGGUGACCUGCCCUCAGCUCUGGGAUAAGCCUGGGAAACUGGGUCUAAUACCGGAUAUGACUCCAUGACGCAUGUUGUGGGGUGGAAAGCCUUGUGCGGCUAGGGAUGGGCCCGCGGCCUAUCAGCUUGUUGGUGGGGUGAUGGCCACCAAGGCGACGACGGGUAGCCGGCCUGAGAGGGCGACCGGCCACACUGGGACUGAGACACGGCCCAGACUCCUACGGGAGGCAGCAGUGGGGAAUCUUGCGCAAUGGGC
rnacentral:rRNA from 1 species